rnacentral:rRNA from 1 species
UACGGAGGGGGCUAGCGUUGUUCGGAAUUACUGGGCGUAAAGCGUGCGCAGGCGGCUGCUCAAGUCAGGGGUGAAAGCCCAGAGCUCAACUCUGGAAUUGCCUUUGAGACUGAGUGGCUUGAGUACGGGAGAGGUGAGUGGAAUUCCCAGUGAUAGAGGUGAAAUUCGUAAGAUAUUGGGAAGAACACCGGUGGCGAAGGCGGCUCACUGGCCCGUAACUGACGCUCAUGCACGACAGCGUGGGGAUCAAACAGG